CCUACGUGAGGCAGCAGUGAGGAAUAUUGGUCAAUGGGCGCGAGCCUGAACCAGCCAAGUAGCGUGAGUGAAGAAGGUUUUCGGAUUGUAAAGCUCUUUCGGAUGUGACGAUGAUGACGGUAGCAUCUAAAGAAGCCCCGGCUAACUUCGUGCCAGCAGCCGCGGUAAUACGAAGGGGGCAAGCGUUGUUCGGAAUUACUGGGCGUAAAGGGAGUGUAGGCGGUUUAGUAAGAUAGUGGUGAAAUCCCAGGGCUUAACUUUGGAAUUGCCAUUAUAACUAUUAGACUAGAAUUACAGAGAGGAUAGUGGAAUACCCAGUGUAGAGGUGAAAUUCGUAGAUAUUGGGUAGAACACCAGUGGCGAAGGCGACUAUCUGGCUGUACAUUGACGCUGAGGCUCGAAAGCAUGGGGAUCAAACAGGAUUAGAUACCCCAGUAGUA
rnacentral:rRNA from 1 species